rnacentral:rRNA from 1 species
GUUAUUUGAUGGAUAAAUAAUCUCGCCUGCUCAAUGUUUAAUAGCUGCAGUAUUCUGACUGUACAAAGGUAGCAUAAUCAAUUGCCUUUUAAUUGGAGGCUGGAAUGAAUGGUGGAACAGGGAGGAUAGUUUUAUUUCUUGAACUUAAGUGAAUCAUAAAAACGUGUUUAUUAGUCUCUGGGACGAGAAGACCCUAGAAGCUAUAAGACUCUGUUUGUUGGGGUGACAAAUGAAUAAAUUUAACUUUAUUUAAGUUACUCUAGGGAUAACAGCGUAAUUAAAAUUGAAAGUUCAUAUUAAGAUUUUAGUUUGCGACCUCGAUGUUGAAUUAAAGGGUGAAGGAGCUCUAGUCUGUUCGACUAUUAAAGAUUUACA